AGAGUUUGAUCAUGGCUCAGGACGAACGCUGGCGGCGUGCUUAACACAUGCAAGUCGAACGGUGAACCUCUUUCGGGAGGGGAUCAGUGGCGAACGGGUGAGUAACACGUGGGCAACCUGCCCCCGGCUCUGGGAUAACUCCAAGAAAUUGGGGCUAAUACCGGAUAUUCACGGCUGGUCGCAUGACCGGCGGUGGAAAGUUUUUCGGCUGGGGAUGGGCCCGCGGCCUAUCAGCUUGUUGGUGGGGUGAUGGCCUACCAAGGCGACGACGGGUAGCCGGCCUGAGAGGGUGACCGGCCACACUGGGACUGAGACACGGCCCAGACUCCUACGGGAGGCAGCAGUGGGGAAUAUUGCGCAAUGGGCGGAAGCCUGACGCAGCGACGCCGCGUGGGGGAUGACGGCCUUCGGGUUGUAAACCUCUUUCAGCAGGGACGAAGCCGUGAGGUGACGGUACCUGCAGAAGAAGCACCGGCCAACUACGUGCCAGCCGCCGCGGUAAUAC
rnacentral:rRNA from 1 species